UGGCUCAGGACGAACUCUGGCGGCGUGCCUAACGCAUGCUAGUCAAACGAAGCUUUGAGGAGCUUGCUUUUUAAGGCUGAGUGGCGGACGGGUGAGUGACGCGUGAUCUACCUGCCUCUCAGAGGGGGAUAAGGUUGUGAAAAGAACGCUACUACCGUGUAACAUAUCGGAACCGCAUGAUUCUGAUAUCAAGAGAACAAUCCGCUGACAGAUGGGCUCGCGUCCUAUUAGUUAGUUGGUGAAGUAACGGCUCACCAACACUACUAUCGGCAUCCGGACUGAGAGGUUGAUCGGCCACAUUGGGACUGAGACUCUCCCCACACUCCUACAGGAGGCAGCUGCGGGGGAUGUUGCGCAAUGCGGGAAACCCUGACGCAGCAACGUCGCGUGAUGGAAGAAUGUCUUCGUGAUUGUAAACUUCUCUUUUCAGGGACGAAGAAAGUGACGGUACCUGUCGAAUAAGAUCUGCCUAACUACGUGCCAGCAGCCGCGGUAAUACGUAGGGAGCGAGCGUUGUCUGUAUUUACUGGGUGUAAAGGGUGCGUAGGCGGCCGAGCAAGUCAGUCGUGAAAACUAUGGGCUUAAUCCAUCACGUGCAAUUGAAACUGUCCGUCUUGAGUGAAGUAGAGGUAGGCGGAAUUCCCGGUGUAGCGGUGAAAUGCGUAGAGAUCGGGAGGAACACCAGUGGCGAAGGCGGCGUCCUUGGCUUUAACUGUCGCUCAGGCACGCAAGCAUGGGUAGCAAACAAGAUUAGAUACC
rnacentral:rRNA from 1 species